CACCGAGGUGGGCACAACCCACCAGGGCGCGUCAGGCCCACCUGGGCGCGCCAGGUGGGCCUGACGCGCCCUGGUGGGUUGUGCCCUCCACGG
rnacentral:pre_miRNA from 1 species